AUAUAGAAUUGGCUUACACUCGCCACAAGCUACAUCAGAGUCACAUCAGUACAUUACAUAAACAUCAUGAAGAAGAGCAGGGUCCGACUACGGUCGAAAACAAACGAGAAAAGAAGAACGACGUCCAUCCUUGCUAUCCCAGGCUGCCGGCCUGGAACCCAUCCUAGAUCGAUGAAGAAGAAGCAACUCCAAAUGAACAAUCAACGCGCUCGCGUCAAGAAACCUUUACAUGUACCUGCAACUGGUGUUGUAGUAAUCUGUGAGCCACAGGGGACUCAGCAAUCUCAUUUCCAAAGGUAUCAAGACUAGCAAAGCUUACUGGGUGAGGCAUGGUUAAGUGGUGAGGUUGCAGCAGCGGCUAAGCAUACAUGAGGUGGCUAAACUUACGAGUACAAGAAAUAAGAGGGGGAAAGAUCUACGCAUGGCGGACGUGAACUACGGUUGAUCAAAUGAAUGAUCCUGAACACCUACCUACGUCAGACAUAACCCCACCGUGUCCUCGAUCGGAGAAGGAACUCACGAAAUAGACAGUCACGAUUACGCACACAGUUGGCAUAUUUUAAUUAAGUUAACUUCUAGUUAUCUAGAACCAGUGUUAAACAAAGUUUUCACGUUGCCACAUAACCGCGGGCAUGGCUUUCCGAAAAGAUUUAACCCUGUAGGGGUGCUCCAACUAGUCCAUCACAAAUUACCACAAGCCGCAUAGAAAUCCUCAAUCACGAAGCUCGCGAUCUCGUCGGAUUCCCUAGUGGAAAACCUCAACUCUGAGAUUACCCAAAGCAUCACCGGAAUCCCGAUGCACAAGAUAUUUCGUCAAAGGUAAAACUAAUCCAGCAAGGCCGCCCGACGUGUCAACGAUCCCGAUAGGAGUCGCGUACCUCGUUCUCCGGACAUGACGGAUGGGUCACACUAGGAGAUACCAAACCUCGGGUUGCCCCACGGUGGCCCCGUAGUGUGCCAAUUUGGACCAACACUCAUGAGGAGCACUGGCCCAGGGGUUGAUUAAAUUAUCCUCGUGUUAAUUACUUCCUAUGCAGUUCAUUAGUUAUUAGGCAAAUGUAGUACCAAAGUUGGGCCUUGCCAGACCAACUUUAAUCUAAUACGAAUUAUCAAGGAGGUCCCCAUAACAACCCCGAUCGUGUUAGGAGCGCUCGUUUAUGGAACAUAACACCGGUAGCCGAAAACUAAGGGGGCAAAUGUGGAACAAAACACCAGGCUAGAAAGGCCGAGCCUUCCGCCUUUUACCAAGUAUAUAAGUGCAUUAAAUUAAAUAGCAUUUAAAUAUGGUGAUAUGACAAGGGACCCAUGUUAUCACAUGGAAGCAUCUGCACCUGCAACUAGCAACGCUAACAACAUGGUUAAGCAAGCAGUAACAUAGCCAAUCAAUGGUUUGCUAGGUCGAACGGGUUGAAGGUAAUCAUGGCAUUGUUGAGAGGCUGAUAUGUAAACAUGUGGUAGGCAACGAGACAUAACCGAUAGCAUCGAAAUAACUAGCAUGACAAUGAUAGUAAUGGUAUCUGGGGAAAUGGUCAUCUUGCCUGAGAUCCCGCUUGGAANUGCAACUAGCAACGCUAACAACAUGGUUAAGCAAGCAGUAACAUAGCCAAUCAAUGGUUUGCUAGGUCGAACGGGUUGAAGGUAAUCAUGGCAUUGUUGAGAGGCUGAUAUGUAAACAUGUGGUAGGCAACGAGACAUAACCGAUAGCAUCGAAAUAACUAGCAUGACAAUGAUAGUAAUGGUAUCUGGGGAAAUGGUCAUCUUGCCUGAGAUCCCGCUUGGAAGAAGAACAACUCCGAGAUGUCGACGAACCAACGUAGUCGAACGAGUCCUCACAUUCCGACACGCUUGCGGAACUCUAUCGAGACGGAGCAAACCGGAAACAAACAUCAACACAAAUAUUCACCACACGAUGCACAACAUGAUGCAUAACCUACUAUGAUGCAUGAUCAGUUCAAAGAUGCAAGGGAUGGCAUGGCAAUUCACCUCACACAAACACUACACAUUAAGUGAAGCUCGAUAUGCAACGGGUUGCAUAUCGAUAAAACUCCACAAUUGAUUAUUUAGUUCACUCCCGAUUAUUUACACGGCAAUAUUAAAUUGUAGUUAACAUGACAAGGGUGAAGCGACGUUCCUACAUGACAUCCUAGUCGGUUAACACGCGGAGCAUAGAACGGAGCUACGGUUAAAUAUCUACGACCUAAACCGUUUAACACGAUGACACACAAACCGAUGCAAACAACAUGCUAAACAGUUUUAAAUAUGCAUGAGACUUGAAAAAAAUAUGAAUCUACGUGAAAUUCUAGCCAUGUUACAUAUAUAACUUCUCGCAAUCCGACGCACGUAUUAAAAGUUACGCGGGUUUUUUUCAAAAUCAUGCAAUUUUUUUCUAAAUUACCAAAUUCGCAGAGCGGAAAAAAAAUGAACAUAGGUCGAAUUGCAACUUGGAGUGGCCCACUAGUGGAUUUAGCCCAAGCGGAUGUGCACACACAAGAAUAAAAUGGAGGCUUCACUAGGAUUCGAUCCCAUGACCUCUUUAGGGGAGAGGAAGGCACCAGCCAGUCGAGCUACGAAGCAUCUGUGAAAGGAUAUGGGUUUUAGUCUAUAUGAAGGAGCAUAAGGGGCCAACCUGAACCAAAAACAAAACAAUCUUUAGGGGAGAGGAAGGCACCAGCCAGUCGAGCUACGAAGCAUCUGUGAAAGGAUAUGGGUUUUAGUCUAUAUGAAGGAGCAUAAGGGGCCAACCUGAACCAAAAACAAAACAAAAAUAGGGGUUCCUGUGAUUCGAACCCUAGACUUCACGAUUGCAAACCCACACGCUAACCAACUAGGCCACCACGAAAUUAUGAAAAACCAUGAGAAGUUCGCUAGAUGAAAGGGCCAUGUUGCUGACUGCAUAAAACUGAAUCUGGAAAGCGUAGUUGCUUCAAGCGAACCUGUCAGGUUCAGACUUGGCAGAACUGACGGCGAUGCACAGGAUUGCACGGCUGGAUCCAUGGGGUGGCUUGGGGACGACGCGGGGUUGGGGUUGCGGUCGCGAUGUAGCAUGUCCAGGCACUGGAAGAUAAGCAAACGAGGAGACAUCGAGGGUAGCGUGGGUCAACGGUGCAGGGAAGACAAAGGCCAUUGCGCUGGACCUGCAGAUGACGUCGACGGCACCCAAUGAUGGAGAAGGACGAAUCCUGGUGGAAUGGACAGUUACGGGCAUGAGGAGUCCAAUCCCGAUGACGAGGGCCUUCUGGGUGGCACGGACGGCAAGCUCCAUGGGCGGCGGCGGAGGGUUUUCCGUUCUGCU
rnacentral:lncRNA from 1 species